rnacentral:ncRNA from 2 species
UAAUGUUCUCAGGGCGGGGUGAAAGUCCCCACCGGCGGUAAGGGUUUCUACCCAAGCCCGCGAGCGCUUUCCGGUCCACGCAUCAAUGCGUGGAUUCUUAAGUGCUAGAGCGUCCUUUACGCGUCCAAGGGACGCGUGGCGCUCUAGUGGAAAGGUCAGCAGAUCCGGUGUGAUUCCGGAGCCGACGGUUACAGUCCGGAUGGAAGAGGACGAAA